AAUGUGACCUAAUGUCGACUCCUCAUAAGGAAGAAGAAUCAGCAGCAGCAGUUCUCUAUCAGCUCAAAUGUGGAAAAGUUGUUCGGGGAGUUUAGCUGCCGGUGCACCGCCCGAUAGAGAGGGUUUAGUAAUUAGUGCUCUCUCUCUCUCUCUCUUCUUUUGUUCUGGCUCCCCAAGAUGAACAGAUUCUGCGCAAACGUUCCUCUCUGCAAUACCUAGUAUGUAAGCUCUCUCUUAUUGAACAGAUUACUGAAACAUGUUCAGUCCUUGUCAACCAAACCUAUCUUCCAAAUGGGAACCAAUGCUGGCACAAAUGAAGAAGAAGAAAAAGGGGAGAUAUUAUUCAGACCCAUGGGGGUUAAAGAUUGUACCCCCUUGAAUAACCCUUCUUCUUCUUCUUCUUCUUCUUUUGAUCAGCAAAAGACUUUAUUGAUGAAAUGGAGCAUACAAAGUAUGUGGAUACAUCAAUAAAGGGGAAGAACAGGGCUAAAAGCAUCAUGGGACUACAACUUGGUCCCAACAACGUGGACACCAAGAGAGGAACCGAAACAAAUGCUAGCACAAGCCACUGAUGUUGGUGAGGAACCAACAAGAGGCAAAGGCCAAAAGCCAAGGACCCACAAGACCAAACCACCCCUGCGCAACUGGAACCUCAAAAAGACAACCUGAUCUGGUGGAGAUUGGACACAAUGUCAUGAACUGAAUAAUCAACCUCCAAGUGCCAAUUGGUCCAUAAAGCAAUCUGCACUUUAAUUUUUUCACAUAAUUCUUGAAUAUCAGGAUGAGCCCCUUUAAACAAACAUUCAUUCCUCAAUUUCCAGACAGACCAUAAGACAACAGAAGGGACAAUCUGCCAGACUUUGAAUACCCAAGACUUGAACUUAACUCCAGACCACCAAUGCAACAGGCCUAUUAUAGCCCAAACCUGAUCCCACCAAUUUACCAUGUGAGACCAGCACUUCCAAACCAGAGGGCAAUACAGAAGCACAUGAUCAAUAGAUUCCACCUCAGUUUGACAGAAGACACACAGAUUAUUAGCACUCACAUCAAGAGCCCCAAUCCUUUGUAGGAAGGUUGAGGUUUUAACCUUGCUGCGCCAAGCCAACCAACAAAAAAACUGCACUUUUGGAGGAGCUAAACUCACCCACACCCCUGCUGGUAUUGACAAACCAGGCCCUCUAGCUGCAUCCCACCACCACCACACAGAAGAUACUGUUAACUGCCCUGAACUCUCUGCUAACCAAGAGCAAGAGUCCUCAAGACCAAAUCUGAGAUUAGGGGAUAACUCCAACAUGCCUAUCAGCCUCUGCAACUCCUCUUCUUUCCAAGCUAGUAGGUGCCUUCUAAAUUGAAGCUGCCACCUCCCUGAGAUACUUUUCUUUGCACUGAUUUGUUGCAGAGACGACUCCUCUGUGGAUAAGCUGAAUAAUCUGGGAAAUUCAGACUUCAAACCUCUGUUGCUUAGCCAGGCAUCAUACCAGAACUGUAUUCGCCAUUGAGUGUCAUCACUUCCGACAUGAAGAGGAAUGCUGUAUAUACUAUGACUGCUACUCAACCCUCCAAAUUAAUCAGUAAAAUUCAGUCUGUUCAUGCAUCCAUACGUAGAGAUAUUCAACGCUCUUACAAGAUACUGAAAGCCUUUUCUGUACGGAUUAUUAAUCGACAAGUUGAUGGGAAAUUACCAUUAUCAUUUCAGGAGAAACAUGUUAUGCAAGGCGUCAAUUCUUGCCAACCUCGAAGAAAUUAGGGUGUUCAGGAAUUCCGGUGGGGACAUAUUUAGGGAUCAUUACUUAUGUGAUGGGUCAUCUGGUGGUGAUAACACUACUGUCCCUGCUGUGGUUAAGUUUGGAGCUGGGAGGGGUUACUUGACACAAUUGCUUGUAGACUGUUGGAAUCAAUCAAGUCUUUCUGGUCUGAGAGAAAGUCAUACAAGCUUCAGGUGAGCGUCAAGAAGCACAAGCCCAGAAGGAACCCUCUAGCUGAGCCACUGGAGUUUAAGGCCUUGGAGUUUUGUUAUGGUGCCUCCGAGUUGAGGCUAGGUGUAGAAGACCGUUGUUAAGUUUUGAUCAUGUUAUGUUGAAUUUUUUAUACAUAAGUAUAUGUAUUUGAAUGUUUUUUUUAUACAAGAUAUUAUGUGUGUAAUACAGGGUGGAUAAAUUAAUGUUAUGUGCAUGUGUUAGUUCAUAUAGACUCACAGCUCAUUGGACUACUUGUUGUAUAUUGUUAUUAUUAAGCUUCCGCUAGCCACUAUUAUUUUGAUUUGUACAGGAAGACCUUUGGUAAUCUCGGAUUACUGGCCGGUCACCUCACCGACCCUUACGGGGCGGGGUUCAAGCCGUGACACUGCCCUCCUCCGAUUCUCUCUCUCGCUUUUGUCUCCAUCACCAUCAGUACAAGAGCACUAUCGGCGCCAACGCCCGUCGCACACAAAGACCAUCACAAACCAGCAGCCUAUAUCAUCUUAUCUCGCAGUCACGAUCCACCAUUGGAGCAAUACCCAAGGUAUGUCCUCUCGAUUUCUCUCUUUCUCUCUCUCUCUCUCUCUCUCUCUCUCUCUCUAUGUAUCUCUUUAUCUCAGACUGUUUCCCUAAUUUCGGCCUUUAGGGGUUUUUUCUUCUUCCACCCGCAUACCUUCUUCACGCAAACCUACCCUCAAAUCGAUCCAACCAUUGCCAUUCAUAUAGUGGGAAAAUGGUUUCCUCAACUCUUCCUGUCUCCACAUUCAUAUCUGCAAAAUCCAUUUUUGAAACCCCUCUUCAAACCUUCCUUUCCUAGAUAAUCGAAAACACCAAGUGUUUAUUUUAAAUGUGGUAUAAAAAGCAUGAUUUGAGAUUAAACGUUUUGAUUUUAAUUGCCUUGCAUUUAUAUGAAGUUGGGUUUACUCUGAAAUGUCCACAAAUAGACCAUUUCGUAAAAAGAAGAAGAUCAAAAUUGUCAAGGUAAGUUCUGAAAUGGAAGCAUCUAUUUACUGUUCAUGGCUUUAGAGUAUAAAUUUUUACCCAAUAAAAACAAUUCAGACUUUAAGAGCCAAAAUAUUUGCCUAAUGUUAUUUUGUAUCUCGUAGGCCAAUCUAGAACCUUCUUGUUUGUCAACUUCCAUUGACAUCUAAGGUGAAUUUUGCUCUUUCCAUUGCUUUAGUAAUUGUUGAUAACUAUGGAAAAUAGCUCUUAGUAAAUAUUUAAAUGAGAAUUGUUACAAUGUUAAUUUUGCAGAAGUAGCAACCUAUUUUUGCUUAUGUGUUCUAUAAGCCAGUGAAAAUCCAUUAGAAAUCCUUGCUCUCUGUUUUGUUAUUCUAACCAAGUUUUGGGGGUAAAUAAUCAUGUUGUUGUGUUCCUCCGUGUCUAUUAUUACACUAUUGAUAGAUUUUGCAAAUUCAGUUCUAUAGCAUAGACAUUAUGCUGAUAUUGCUGAAUAUAAUAAAUCUACUAUCCAAAGGCAUGUGCUUAGUUGAGAUGUAUCUUGAAUUUUGGUUCAACUAUAAUUCAGUAUGUUUCAAGCAAUAAAUGAUAAAGAGUCUUGUUGGAGUGCACACACAAAGUUAUUAAGCAAAAUAGAGAAGGUAUGAUUAAGAUAUAUACCUAUUUGAUAUUUUACUUGUUGGAUGCUUAUCUUUCCUUUCAUUUUAUGCACUAUAGAUCUUCAUUCAAUGUGUUUAAAUCAUGGUUAGAAACCUGCUACCAAUGUCCUUGAAUCCGUAGUUCUGAAAUAUUGUCUUAUGAUAGAUAUUUUGGAAUAUGUGCCUAAUUAUUAUGGGGAACUGUAGUCUUGCUGCAUAUGGUGACAAUUCAUAUUACCUUGGUGCUAUGGCAUAUUAUUGUUUGUUUGAAUAUUGUCUAAUUCAAGUAUUUGCACCAAAUGCUCGUAUUAUCUAGUGUAUUUCCACGUGGCAUUUGGUUUAACUUAUAUAGUUGCAGGAUGUUUAUUUUGAUUCAACCUUUGUCUCCUAAGUAGUACAGCAGAUGUGUGAUAAUUGAUACAUAGAUCAGCUAUUUUGCUAAAAUUUCCAUGUAGAUGAGCAAGUGAAGUGUUAGUGCUCACUACUUGGGAGUUUGUGUAACAUCAAGUGGGGAAUGAGUCUGACAUUAGGAAUUCUAAAUUCUUCUUCUUCUUUUUUUAAUUAAUUUUUUAAUAACAAUUUGAUAAUUAAAUUCAGCAAGGAUUAGGAUGGUCUGCCAAGAUUAUCUUAGAGAUUCACAUGGGCUAGGUUUGUGGAUGGGCAUUAGAAAGGUUAGCAGGAGUGUUCCAUGCUAAUUGGUUAAAAAGGUAUAUUAGUUAACAGAUUUGAUGGAUAACAGAA